rnacentral:lncRNA from 1 species
GCGCACGCGCGCGCGCGGGCGGCGCCGCUAAUUGUUGCUAAUUUUGUUUCAUUAACUUUAUUUACUCUUGAACCCCUUAAUUGUUUUCCAUUUAUUUUUAGUAAUUUUACAAUGCACUACUAAUCCCCCUGUCUGCCGACGCCUCUGCCCCUCCCUCUGCCUUCCUUUCCUCGGUGCUCCGCCGCCCUCCCCCCGGCCUUCCCGGCUUUGGCGCCGCGGGGCCGCUGGCUUGGGAAGGCGCUGCCGCCCCCGCGCGGAGGAACACGGGGCGUUCCUGGUGCCCUAUUUCACGGCACCGACAAACGGAAUAUUACUUUUAAAACAGUAUGAAAUACCAGGUCCUGUCCUCGGAGCUAUUUCGGGGGAAUUCAAUUUUCGCUGAAUGGUCGCGGGGAGAAUGUGCCCGGCUCUCCACACAGCGCUUCUCAAAUCCACUAAAAUCAACACAAUAAUUGAAAUAUUUUCAAGCUGAUUACACCGCAGCCCGAGGCUAGCCUGGUUGCUAAGGGUGAGCUCCACGGUUGCUAGGGGGAGUAAAUCAUCUUGCAUUAUUUGAUUUUUGUUAUAGAUAUGAAACCGCUACUCCCGCGAUUAAAUGUCUCUCAGCCUAACACCUAUGGGACCUGGGGAGAGAGGGAGAGAGGGGCUCCAACCUUGACCCUGUCAAAUAAAUAUCUCUAACUUUUCC